GCGUCCGUAGCUUAAUGGAUAGAGCAUCGGCCUCCGGAGCCGAGGAUUCCGGUUCAAGUCCGGACGGAUGCG
rnacentral:tRNA from 1 species